rnacentral:rRNA from 1 species
UACGUAGGGUGCAAGCGUUAAUCGGAAUUACUGGGCGUAAAGCGUGCGCAGGCGGUUGUGUAAGACAGAUGUGAAAUCCCCGGGCUCAACCUGGGAACUGCAUUUGUGACUGCACAGCUGGAGUGCGGCAGAGGGGGAUGGAAUUCCGCGUGUAGCAGUGAAAUGCGUAGAUAUGCGGAGGAACACCGAUGGCGAAGGCGGCAUCCUGGACCGGUAUUGACGCUGAGGCGCGAAAGCUAGGGGAGCAAACGGG